rnacentral:rRNA from 1 species
CAGUCCACGCCGUAAACGAUGAGUGCUAGCUGUCGGGACAUUAGUCUCGGUGGCGCAGCUAACGCAGUAAGCACUCCGCCUGGGAAGUACGGUCGCAAGAUUAAAACUCAAAGGAAUUGACGGGGACCCGCACAAGCGGUGGAGCAUGUUGUUUAAUUCGAAGCAACGCGCAGAACCUUACCAACCCUUGACAUCCUGUGCUACUACCAGAGAUGGUAUGUUCCCUUCGGGGACGCAGUGACAGGUGCUGCAUGGCUGUCGUCAGCUCGUGUCGUGAGAUGUUCGGUUAAGUCCGGCAACGAGCGCAACCCACGUCCUUAGUUGCCAGCAGUUCGGCUGGGCACUCUAAGGAAACUGCCCGUGAUAAGCGGGAGGAAGGUGUGGAUGACGUCAAGUCCUCAUGGCCCUUACGGGUUGGGCUACACACGUGCUACAAUGGCAGUGACAAUGGGUUAAUCCCAAAAAGCUGUCUCAGUUCGGAUUGUCGU